rnacentral:snRNA from 1 species
AUACUUAGCUGACAGGGGAGAGAGAUACCAUGAUCACGAAGGUGGUUUCCCAGGGCGAGGCUCAUCCAUUGCACUGCGGAUGUGCUGACCCCUGCGGUUUCCCCAAAUGUGGAGAACUCGACUACAUCAAUUAAAAAAAAUAAAAUAAAUUUUAA